rnacentral:miRNA from 1 species
UGUAUGAAACUGUCUUAUUAAAAAGAUGAUUUCUGGACUGGAGAGAUGGCUCAGCCGUUAAAGGCUAGGCUCACAACCAAAAUAAA